rnacentral:misc_RNA from 1 species
UAUGAAGAACGUAGCGAAAUGCGAUAAGUAAUGUGAAUUGCAGAAUUCAGUGAAUCAUCGAAUCUUUGAACGCACAUUGCGCCCGCCAGUAUUCUGGCGGGCAUGCCUGUUCGAGCGUCAUUUCAACCCUCAAGACCCCUUCGGGGGACUUGGUGUUGGGGACCGGCACAGGGGCCUGCCUGCUUGUCUUGCAGCGCCCUCGCCGCCCCCGAAAUGAAUUGGCGGCCUCGUCGCGGCCUCCCCUGCGUAGUAGCACAAACCUCGCAACGGGAACGUGACGGCGGCCACUGCCGUAAAACAACCCAAUUUUAUUAGAGUUGACCUCGAAUCAGGUAGGAAUACCCGCUGAACUUAAGCAUAUCAAUAAGCGGAGGA